CCUACGGGAGGCAGCAGUGGGGAAUAUUGGUCAAUGGAGGAAACUCUGAACCAGCCACGCCGCGUGAGUGAUGACUUCCCUCGGUGUUGUAAGCUUCUUUUAUAUGGGAAUAAAGUUCAGUAUGUGUACUAUUUUGUCUGUCCAAUAUGAUUACAGCUCGGCUAACUCCGUGCCAGCAGCCGCGGUAAUACGGAGGUUCCGAGCGUUAUCCGGAUUUAGUGGGGUGAAAGGGAGCGUAGACGGACGCAUAAGUCUGUUGUGAAAUGUUGCGGCUCAACCGUGAAAUUGCAGUUGAUACUGGGUAGCUGGAGUGCAGCAGAGGUAGGUGGAAUUCGUGGUGUAGCGGUGAAAUGCUUAGAUAUCACGAAGAACUCCGAUUGCGAAGGCAGCUUACUGGACUGUAACUGACGUUGAUGCUCGAAAGUGUGGGGAGCAAACAGGAUUAGAUACCCUGGUAGUC
rnacentral:rRNA from 1 species